AGUUUGAUCCUGGCUCAGAUUGAACGCUGGCGGCAUGCUUUACACAUGCAAGUCGAACGGCAGCGGGGGCUUCGGCCUGCCGGCGAGUGGCGAACGGGUGAGUAAUACAUCGGAACGUGUCCUUAAGUGGGGAAUAACGCAUCGAAAGAUGUGCUAAUACCGCAUAUCUCUCAGGAGGAAAGCAGGGGAUCGAAAGACCUUGCGCUAAAGGAGCGGCUGAUGUCUGAUUAGCUAGUUGGUGGGGUAAAGGCUUACCAAGGCAACGAUCAGUAGCUGGUCUGAGAGGACGACCAGCCACACUGGGACUGAGACACGGCCCAGACUCCUACGGGAGGCAGCAGUGGGGAAUUUUGGACAAUGGGCGAAAGCCUGAUCCAGCCAUGCCGCGUGAGUGAAGAAGGCCUUCGGGUUGUAAAGCUCUUUUAGUCGGAAAGAAAGAGUCAUAGUAAAUAGCUAUGAUUUAUGACGGUACCGACAGAAAAAGCACCGGCUAACUACGUGCCAGCAGCCGCGGUAAUACGUAGGGUGCGAGCGUUAAUCGGAAUUACUGGGCGUAAAGGGUGCGCAGGCGGCCUUGUAAGUCAGAUGUGAAAGCCCCGGGCUUAACCUGGGAAUUGCGUUUGAAACUACAAAGCUAGAGUGCAGCAGAGGGGAGUGGUAUUCCAUGUGUAGCAGUGAAAUGCGUAGAGAUGUGGAAGAACACCGAUGGCGAAGGCAGCUCCCUGGGUUGACACUGACGCUCAUGCAC
rnacentral:rRNA from 1 species